rnacentral:rRNA from 1 species
GACGAACGCUGGCGGCGUGCUUAACACAUGCAAGUCGAGCGGUAAGGCCCUUUCGGGGGUACACGAGCGGCGAACGGGUGAGUAACACGUGGGUGACCUGCCCUCAGCUCUGGGAUAAGCCUGGGAAACCGGGUCUAAUACUGGAUAUGACCCCAUGACGCAUGUUGUGGGGUGAAAGCCUUGUGCGGCUGAGGAUGGGCCCGCGGCCUAUCAGCUUGUUGGUGGGGUGAUGGCCUACCAAGGCGACGACGGGUAGCCGGCCUGAGAGGGCGACCGGCCACACUGGGACUGAGACACGGCCCAGACUCCUACGGGAGGCAGCAGUGGGGAAUCUUGCGCAAUGGGCGAAAGCCUGACGCAGCGACGCCGCGUGAGGGAUGACGGCCU